UUCACUAAUGGGUAGGAGGGGAGGGGGAAUGCUUUUUAAACCAGAGUCGCAGCGCGGAUCGCUCAGUCUGUAUUGUUGAGGUCGCCGCUGAGCCAUGAGUCGAUUCUUCAUCCUUGUAUUGGUGGUUGCAGCUGCAGCGUCCGCUUAUGCAGAGAUAAGCUGUGAGCCUGGUUCCAUCUUCAAAGAUGACUGCAACACAUGUCGCUGUUCAGCAGAUGGAAGUCGAGCAGCUUGCACCCACAGUAUAUGUUCACCAUCUGUCAGGCAGAAACGUGCUCCCAGAGAUGGAGAGCGGUGUGAGCCUGGAACAAGAUUCAUGGAUGAGUGCAAUAUGUGCAUCUGCUCACAGGAUGGCAUAAAAGCUCAUGCAUCAUGCACCAUUAACAUAUGUAGGAGGAUCAAGAGAGCACCUGAGACCUGUGAACCUGGGACAGUAUUCAAGAAAGAUUGCAACACUUGCACAUGCUCUGCAGAUGGAGGAAGUGCUGUUUGCACUCUGAAAGCAUGUCUGCCUCAGAAAAUAAGAAAACGAGAUGUUGAGAAAUGUGUACCUGGCACAACUUACAAGAAGGAAUGCAACACCUGUCGAUGUUCUGCUGAUGGACAAAAAGAAGCCUGCACUCUCAAGUUCUGUGUACCAAAUGCAGGUGUUGAACUUGCAUGGAGAUGUCAUUCUGGUGAGAUAUUCAAGAGGGACUGUAAUAUUUGCAUCUGCUCAGCAGAUGGAAUUCCAGAUCAUGCAUCCUGUACCUUUUACCUUUGCAGAAGAAAUAAACAAGGUGUUGAACUCGCACGGAGAUGUCAUUCUGGUGAGAUAUUCAUGAGAGACUGCAAUAUUUGCAUCUGCCCAGCAAAUGGAAUUGCGGAUCUUGCAUCCUGUACACUUCACUAUUGUAGGAGAAAUGAAGAAGGUACAACACCAAGGUACAGACAGACGAAUUGUGACAUGGGCUAGAUGCUUAGAGACUUGGAAACUUGCAACACUGUAUAGUUUUCAGUAAAAAUUAUCAAUAACUUGACCAAAAAUAAGAAAAUCUGUGAAUAGGAAAUUUACAGGUUCGGAGGGAUGGCCGAGACUUUUAUGAACAUGUUAAAUAAAUGCUAGGGUACCUGCAAGAAUCUUUGAAUGACGUUGAGAGUGGGAGUGAAUGUAAAAUUGAAGGUGACCACAGCAUGAAAUGUGCUGAGGUUGAGUGACAAUUUCAAGAAGUUAAACCAUUGCACCUCCCUACCUCAGACAUUCGUCAACCGCUGUUUGUGAAGAAUCCUAAACAUUCAUUGGCCAGAAGCGAUUUCCAACCAAGAACUCUGGACAAGGACAGAGGAAAUUGAGGUAUCCAUGCAGAUAAAGCGGCGGAAGUGGAUUGGGCACACGCUGAGGAAGGGGAAUGAAGCCAUUGAGAGAGAGGUCUUGGACUGGAACCCGUAGGGGAGAAGGAAAGAGGGAGGCCCAGACUGACGUGGCGAAGAUCAGUCCACGCUGAGGCAUUGGAAGUUAAAAAGAGCUGGAACGAAGUAAAGAGGAUGGCCAUCAGUAGAACCAGGGAGCGGUGUUUUGUCCCAUGAGGGACAACAGGAAUUGAUGAUGAUGACCAUGUAGUCUGAUGAUGGAGGCAGCAAGGACCUAUGAAACGUCAGUAAACUUAUACCAGAUUACUCGGCGCAACAACCCAGAAGUCAGCCAUCUUCAAAUAGUUACUUCCAGUGCUGUUAGGAGGUGUAUACCUGGAUCAGUUUACAAGAAGGGUUGUAAAAUGUGCCAGUGUUCAAAGAAUGGCAAAACUGAAGUUUGCACUUUGAAUUCUUGUUGAAAUGAUGUUCUGGAACCACUUCCUAUGA